GUGCGAGACCGAUAGCGAACAAGUACCGUGAGGGAAAGAUGAAAAGAACUUUGAAAAGAGAGUUAAAGAGUACCUGAAACUGCUGAAAGGGAAGCGAAUCGUAUCCAGUGUCUAUAAUCUGCGGCAUAUUUCAUUGGCGGCGGUGUGCGUGCCUUGGCUUUGGAAGCGGCUUUUGUUGCUCUGUGCUUUGGUGUUGCGCGUUGGUGCUAAUGCCCUGUGUUGCGGUAGGACGUCAGAGUCAGUUCGUAUGCUGCGGGAAAUGGCUACCGAGGAGGUAGGUCAGGAGCUUGCUCUUGGCUGUUAUAUCUUGGUGGUUUGUUGUCGUGGUUGGGACAGAGGUGCCUACAAUGUGCUUUUGAGUGUGCCGGGUUCUCGUUUGGUGGACUGUUUGGAUAGCUUGCUAUGCUUGUGGUUUUUUCAUCGGGUGAUUGAGUCUGGUGGUAACUUGUUGCUGUUCGGGACUUUGAA
rnacentral:rRNA from 1 species